GAUGAACGCUGGCGGCGUGCCUAAUACAUGCAAGUCGAGCGAACGGACGAGAAGCUUGCUUUUCUGAUGUUAGCGGCGGACGGGUGAGUAACACGUGGAUAACCUACCUAUAAGACUGGGAUAACUUCGGGAAACCGGAGCUAAUACCGGAUAAUAUUUUGAACCGCAUGGUUCAAAAGUGAAAGACGGUCUUGCUGUCACUUAUAGAUGGAUCCGCGCUGCAUUAGCUAGUUGGUAAGGUAACGGCUUACCAAGGCAACGAUGCAUAGCCGACCUGAGAGGGUGAUCGGCCACACUGGAACUGAGACACGGUCCAGACUCCUACGGGAGGCAGCAGUAGGGAAUCUUCCGCAAUGGGCGAAAGCCUGACGGAGCAACGCCGCGUGAGUGAUGAAGGUCUUCGGAUCGUAAAACUCUGUUAUUAGGGAAGAACAUAUGUGUAAGUAACUGUGCACAUCUUGACGGUACCUAAUCAGAAAGCCACGGCUAACUACGUGCCAGCAGCCGCGGUAAUACGUAGGUGGCAAGCGUUAUCCGGAAUUAUUGGGCGUAAAGCGCGCGUAGGCGGUUUUUUAAGUCUGAUGUGAAAGCCCACGGCUCAACCGUGGAGGGUCAUUGGAAACUGGAAAACUUGAGUGCAGAAGAGGAAAGUGGAAUUCCAUGUGUAGCGGUGAAAUGCGCAGAGAUGUGGAGGAACACCAGUGGCGAAGGCGACUUUCUGGUCUGUAACUGACGCUGAUGUGCGAAAGCGUGGGGAUCAAACAGAAUUAGAUACCCUGGUAGUCCACGCCGUAAACGAUGAGUGCUAAGUGUUAGGGGGUUUCCGCCCCUUAGUGCUGCAGCUAACGCAUUAAGCACUCCGCCUGGGGAGUACGACCGCAAGGUUGAAACUCAAAGGAAUUGACGGGGGCCCGCACAAGCGGUGGAGCAUGUGGUUUAAUUCGAAGCAACGCGAAGAACCUUACCAAAUCUUGACAUCCUUUGACAACUCUAGAGAUAGAGCCUUCCCCUUCGGGGGACAAAGUGACAGGUGGUGCAUGGUUGUCGUCAGCUCGUGUCGUGAGAUGUUGGGUUAAGUCCCGCAACGAGCGCAACCCUUAAGCUUAGUUGCCAUCAUUAAGUUGGGCACUCUAAGUUGACUGCCGGUGACAAACCGGAGGAAGGUGGGGAUGACGUCAAAUCAUCAUGCCCCUUAUGAUUUGGGCUACACACGUGCUACAAUGGACAAUACAAAGGGCAGCGAAACCGCGAGGUCAAGCAAAUCCCAUAAAGUUGUUCUCAGUUCGGAUUGUAGUCUGCAACUCGACUACAUGAAGCUGGAAUCGCUAGUAAUCGUAGAUCAGCAUGCUACGGUGAAUACGUUCCCGGGUCU
rnacentral:rRNA from 1 species